CUCAGGAUGAACGCUAGCUACAGGCUUAACACAUGCAAGUCGAGGGGCAGCAUUGGAGUAGCAAUACUCAGAUGGCGACCGGCGCACGGGUGAGUAACACGUAUCCAACCUGCCGCUUACUCGGGGAUAGCCUUUCGAAAGAAAGAUUAAUACCCGAUGGUAUAAAGAGUUCGCAUGUUCUCUUUAUUAAAGAAUUUCGGUAAGCGAUGGGGAUGCGUUCCAUUAGAUAGUUGGCGGGGUAACGGCCCACCAAGUCUACGAUGGAUAGGGGUUCUGAGAGGAAGGUCCCCCACAUUGGAACUGAGACACGGUCCAAACUCCUACGGGAGGCAGCAGUGAGGAAUAUUGGUCAAUGGACGCGAGUCUGAACCAGCCAAAGUAGCGUGAAGGAUGACUGCCCUAUGGGUUGUAAACUUCUUUUAUAAGGGAAUAAAGUGAGGGACGUGUCCCUUUUUGUAUGUACCUUAUGAAUAAGGAUCGGCUAACUCCGUGCCAGCCGCCGC
rnacentral:rRNA from 1 species